AUUGAACGCUGGCGGCAGGCCUAACACAUGCAAGUCGAGCGGAGCGGCGGACGGGUGAGUAAUGCCUAGGAAUCUGCCUGGUAGUGGGGGAUAACGUCAGGAAACGGGCGCUAAUACCGCAUCCUAUCAGAUGAGCAUAGGUCGGAUUAGCUAGGUGGUGGGGUAAAGGCCUAACAAGGCGACGAUCCGGAACUGGUCUGAGAGGAUGAUCAGUCACACGGGAACUGAGACACGGUCCAGACUCCGACGGUGGGCAGCGGUGGGGAAUAUUGGACAAGGGGCGAAAGCCUGAUCCAGCCAUGCCGCGUGUGUGAAGAAGGUCUUCGGAUUGUAAAGCACUUUAAGUUGUGAGGCGUUACCAACAGAAUAAGCACCGGCUAACUACGUGCCAGCCGCCGCGGUAAUAC
rnacentral:rRNA from 1 species